AAAGUCGUAACAAGGUUUCCGUAGGUGAACCUGCGGAAGGAUCAUUACACUCAGUAGUUUACUACUGUAAAGGAGGCUGUCAGUCUGUAUAGUUUUAUCGCUGAUGAGCAGCUGGUCUCUUUUAUCCACCCUUGUCUUUUGCGUACCCAUGUUUCCUCGGCAGGCUUGCCUGCCGACUGGACAAACUUAUAACCUUUUUAAUUUUCAAUCAGCGUCUGAAAAACUUAAUAAUUACAACUUUCAACAACGGAUCUCUUGGUUCUG
rnacentral:misc_RNA from 1 species